CUGCCCUACGGACGCAGCAGUGGGGAAUAUUGCACAAUGGGCGAAAGCCUGAUGCAGCAACGCCGCGUGAGCGAUGAAGGCCUUCGGGUCGUAAAGCUCUGUCCUCAAGGAAGAUAAUGACGGUACUUGAGGAGGAAGCCCCGGCUAACUACGUGCCAGCAGCCGCGGUAAUACGUAGGGGGCUAGCGUUAUCCGGAAUUACUGGGCGUAAAGGGUGCGUAGGUGGUUUCUUAAGUCAGAGGUGAAAGGCUACGGCUCAACCGUAGUAAGCCUUUGAAACUGGGGAACUUGAGUGCAGGAGAGGG
rnacentral:rRNA from 1 species